CUGCAAUGAUGAAUCAAACUAGCUCACUUUGACAUAAUAAUGAAAAGCUUUUGAACUACUGAGCAGC